rnacentral:rRNA from 1 species
UGGGGAAUCUUGGACAAUGGGGGAAACCCUGAUCCAGCCAUGCCGCGUGAUCGAUGAAGGCCUUAGGGUUGUAAAGAUCUUUCAGCGAGGAAGAUAAUGACGGUACUCGCAGAAGAAGCCCCGGCUAACUCCGUGCCAGCAGCCGCGGUAAUACGGAGGGGGCUAGCGUUGUUCGGAAUUACUGGGCGUAACGCGCACGUAGGCGGAUUGGAAAGUUGGGGGUGAAAUCCCGGGGCUCAACCCCGGAACUGCCUUCAAAACUCCCAGUCUGGAGGUCGAGAGAGGUGAGUGGAAUUCCGAGUGUAGAGGUGAAAUUCGUAGAUAUUCGGAGGAACACCAGUGGCGAAGGCGACUCACUGGCUCGAUACUGACGCUGAGGUGCGAAAGCGUGGGGAGCAAACA